rnacentral:rRNA from 1 species
AUUGAACGCUGGCGGCAGGCCUAACACAUGCAAGUCGAGCGGAUGAAGGGAGCUUGCGCCUGGAUUCAGCGGCGGACGGGUGAGUAAUGCCUAGGAAUCUGCCUGGUAGUGGGGGAUAACGUCCGGAAACGGGCGCUAAUACCGCAUACGUCCUGAGUGAGAAAGUGGGGGAUCUUAGGACCUCACGCUAUCUGAUGAGCCUAGGUCGGAUUAGCUAGUUGGUGGGGUAAAGGCCUACCAAGGCGACGAUCCGUAACUGGUCUGAGAGGAUGAUCAGUCACACUGGAACUGAGACACGGUCCAGACUCCUACGGGAGGCAGCAGUGGGGAAUAUUGGACAAUGGGCGAAAGCCUGAUCCAGCCAUGCCGCGUGUGUGAAGAAGGUCUUCGGAUUGUAAAGCACUUUAAGUUGGGAGGAAGGGCAGUAAGUUAAUACCUUGCUGUUUUGACGUUACCAACAGAAUAAGCACCGGCUAACUUCGUG